UACGAAGGGGCUAGCGUUGCUCGGAAUCACUGGGCGUAAAGGGUGCGUAGGCGGGUCUUUAAGUCAGGGGUGAAAUCCCAAGGCUCAACCUUGGAACUGCCUUUGAUACUGGGGAUCUCGAGUCCGGAAGAGGUGAGUGGAACUGCGAGUGUAGAGGUGAAAUUCGUAGAUAUUCGCAAGAACACCAGUGGCGAAGGCGGCUCACUGGUCCGGUACUGACGCUGAGGUGCGAAAGCGUGGGGAGCAAACAGG
rnacentral:rRNA from 1 species